AUGUGUAUGAAUUUUAAGACAUCUGUGCACUUGGAAGAACGGGGUAAGAAGACAGCUCUGGCAGCAAUGACGCUGGAAAGCUAUGAUGCUCUGGGACAGAAUCAUCUGAAUGCCAACCAUCUGCACUGCAUAUCAAGUCUCAAAAUGCCUAUGAAUCAAGAUAAGAACAUGACUUUACAUGAGACCCAUUUGUACUUUGUGUGCGAGUCACUGAAGGUGCAGAUCACAGAAACUAUGCAAAUUCCAAGGUCAAGUGAGUUUUUACAGCAAUCAAAAUGGGAAAUGUGA
rnacentral:lncRNA from 1 species